CCGCUAUUCCUUUCUUUGUUACAAUUGAAUUGAUGACUGGUUUAAUUUAGUUGUAUAGUGGAACGUUUCUGGUCAAUUAUGCAAACAAUGGGUUUUUGAAUUUUUAAAGUUUGCUGAUAGUUUGGAGGUCCAAUGGCAAUCUUGAAUUUCUAUACGGAAAAUAUGUCGCGUUCUCCGGCAUCAAAUUGGCAGCGGGAGUCGACCAAAGUUGCCGGAAUUUGUUGCAACGGGAUGGAAACU
rnacentral:lncRNA from 1 species